AUCGCUUCUCGGCCUUUUGGCUAAGAUCAAGUGUAGUAAAUAUAGCUUCAAAACACAUUUACUAAAACUUGAACAAAACACGAGAUGACAGCCCUUCUUUAUCUCACUUAAU
ensembl:snRNA U2 U2 spliceosomal RNA